rnacentral:rRNA from 1 species
CUACCCGCUGACGAGCGGCGGACGGGUGAGUAAUGCUUAGGAAUCUGCCCAGUAGUGGGGGAUAGCCCGGGGAAACCCGGAUUAAUACCGCAUACGUCCUACGGGAGAAAGCAGGGGAUCUUCGGACCUUGCGCUAUUGGAUGAGCCUAAGUCGGAUUAGCUAGUUGGUGGGGUAAAGGCCUACCAAGGCGACGAUCCGUAGCUGGUCUGAGAGGAUGAUCAGCCACAUCGGGACUGAGACACGGCCCGAACUCCUACGGGAGGCAGCAGUGGGGAAUAUUGGACAAUGGGGGCAACCCUGAUCCAGCCAUGCCGCGUGUGUGAAGAAGGCUUUCGGGUUGUAAAGCACUUUCAGUAGGGAGGAAAACCUUAUGGCUAAUACCCAUGAGGCUUGACGUUACCUACAGAAGAAGCACCGGCUAACUCCGUGCCAGCAGCCGCGGUAAUACGGAGGGUGCAAGCGUUAAUCGGAAUUACUGGGCGUAAAGCGCGCGUAGGUGGUUUGGUAAGCGAGAUGUGAAAGCCCCGGGCUUAACCUGGGAACGGCAUUUCGAACUGUCAGACUAGAGUGUGGUAGAGGGUAGUGGAAUUUCCUGUGU